CCUACGGGUGGCAGCAGUGGGGAAUAUUGCACAAUGGGGGGAACCCUGAUGCAGCAACGCCGCGUGGGUGAAGAAGUACUUCGGUAUGUAAAGCCCUGUCAGCAGGGAAGAAAAUGACGGUACCUGACCAAGAAGCCCCGGCUAACUACGUGCCAGCAGCCGCGGUAAUACGUAGGGGGCAAGCGUUAUCCGGAUUUACUGGGUGUAAAGGGGGCGCAGACGGCAGCGCAAGCCAGGAGUGAAAGCCCGGGGCCCAACCCCGGGACUGCUCUUGGAACUGCGCGGCUGGAGUGCAGGAGGGGCAGGCGGAAUUCCUGGUGUAGCGGUGAAAUGCGUAGAUAUCAGGAGGAACACCGGUGGCGAAGGCGGCCUGCUGGACUGCGACUGACGUUGAGGCCCGAAAGCGUGGGGAGCAAACAGGAUUAGAUACCCGAGUAGUC
rnacentral:rRNA from 1 species